GUAGGGAAUAUUGGACAAUGGGGGCAACCCUGAUCCAGCGACGCCGCGUGAGUGACGAAGGCCUUCGGGUCGUAAAGCUCUGUUGCAAGGGAAAAACAAAAUGAUGGUACCUUGCUAGAAAGGAUCGGCUAACUUCGUGCCAGCAGCCGCGGUAAGACGAGGGAUCCUAGCGUUGUUCGGAAUUCUUGGGCGUAAAGCGGGUGUAGGUGGCUUUGUAAGUCAGGUGUGAAAGCCUGGGGCUUAACCCCAGAAGUCCAUUAGAUACUGCGAAGCUUGAGUGCUGGAGAGACUACUAGAAUUCUUGGUGUAGUGGUGAAAUACGUAGAUAUCAAGAGGAAUACCGGAGGCGAAGGCGGGUAGCUGGCCAGACACUGACACUCAGACCCGAAAGCGUGGGGAUCAAACAGGAUUAGAUACCCCAGUAGUCC
rnacentral:rRNA from 1 species